GCUAAGAAUAUUCCGCAAUGGACGAAAGUCUGACGGAGCGACGCCGCGUGGAUGAAGAAGGCCGAAAGGUUGUAAAAUUCUUUUGUCGGGGAAGAAUAAGCGCGGGAGGGAAUGCCCGCGUGAUGACAUGAACCGGCGAAUAAGCCCCGGCUAACUACGUGCCAGCAGCCGCGGUAACACGUAGGGGGCAAGCGGUGUUCGGAAUUACUGGGCGUAAAGGGCAUGUAGGCGGUUUUGUAAGACUGGCGUGAAAGGCUGCAGCUCAACUGUAGCACGGCGCUGGUAACUGCGAGACUUGAGUCACGGAGAGGGAGCUAGAAUUCCAGGUGUAGGGGUGAAAUCUGUAGAUAUCUGGAAGAAUACCAAUGGCGAAGGCAAGCUUCUGGCCGAUGACUGACGCUGAGGUGCGAAAGCGUGGGUAGCAAACAGGAUUAGAUACCCCGGUAGUCC
rnacentral:rRNA from 1 species